ACCAAUCAGCUUGGUGAUCAAACAUCCUCAGAGAUCCAUCUGACUAUAGAAGGUGAUCAACUGGUUGGUGCUCAACUCAUCGUGAAGGUCCUGGGAAUCAUCCUGCUCGUCUCUACUCUGCUCAUCUUUGAGUGCUGGUUGAAAUCAAGACGCUGCACCAAACCACAGGAGGACGCAGUAGGAGACGACUAUGUUAACAUGGUGGUGGAGUUACAUCCGUCAUGAGCCAGAAGAGGAAGAGGAUGCUAUAAAGCUGUAUCAUCUUUUCUUUUACAUCAUAUGUCAUUUAGCUGACGCUUUUAUCCAGAGCGACUUAGAAUAAGUGCAUUUCAACCAUAAGAAUACAGACACAAAAGAACAAGAAACAUGAGUGUAAUUUCUUCAAAUUAGCCGAUCUACAAUGCUAUAUAUCAGAGCCAAUAUAAGUACAAUUUAAGUGCUACAAUGUGCUAGUCUUUUAGUCGAGGUAGAGUCUGAAGAGGUGUGUCGUUAGUUUGCGGCGGAAGAUGUGAAGACUCUCU